rnacentral:rRNA from 1 species
AACGAACGCUGGCGGCAUGCCUAACACAUGCAAGUCGAACGAGACCUUCGGGUCUAGUGGCGCACGGGUGCGUAACGCGUGGGAACCUGCCCUUAGGUUCGGAAUAACUCCCCGAAAGGGGUGCUAAUACCGGAUAAUGUCUUCGGACCAAAGAUUUAUCGCCUUUGGAUGGUCCCGCGUUGGAUUAGCUAGUUGGUAGGGUAAAAGCCUACCAAGGCGACGAUCCAUAGCUGGUCUGAGAGGAUGAUCAGCCACACUGGGACUGAGACACGGCCCAGACUCCUACGGGAGGCAGCAGUGGGGAAUAUUGGACAAUGGGCGAAAGCAUGAUCCAGCAAUGCCGGGUGAGUGAUGAAGGCCUUAGGGUUGUAAAGCUCUUUUACCCGGGAUGAUAAUGACAGUACCGGGAGAAUAAGCUCCGGCUAACUACGUG